rnacentral:rRNA from 1 species
UACCGGCGGCUCGAGUGGUGGCCACUAUUACUGGGCUUAAAGCGUCCGUAGCUGGAUUGUUAAGUCUCUUGGGAAAUCUACCGGCUUAACCGAUAGGCGUUCAAGGGAUACUGGCAAUCUAGGGACCGGAAGAGGUGAGAGGUACUCCAGGGGUAGGAGUGAAAUCCUGUAAUCCUUGGGGGACCACCUGUGGCGAAGGCGUCUCACCAGAACGGCUCCGACAGUGAGGGACGAAAGCUGGGGGAGCAAA